rnacentral:misc_RNA from 1 species
AACGCACGAGACCUGCGGACCUGCGGAGGGAUCAUUACAGAGUUUUCUAAACUCCCAAACCUUUGUGAACUUACCACUGUUGCCUCGGCGGAAGCUAUUGGGGUUACCCUGUAGCGACCGCCGGUGGACCAACCCAACUCUUGUAAUUUUGAGAAAUCUGAGAGUCUUAUACAAAUAAGUCAAAACUUUCAACAACGGAUCUCU